CUUUAUAAAUUUAAUUUAAUUUAAUUUUAUUUGUAAGUUAAAAAUCUUACAAAUUUAUAAAAGACGAGAAGACCCUAUAGAAUUUUAUAAUUUUUUAUAACUUAAUUUGGUUGUUUAAUUCUUACUAUUUAUAAUUAUUAUUUUAUUGGGGAUAUAUAAAAAUUUAAUUAAAUUUUUUUUUUAUUAUUUUAUAGAUAAAUAAAUUUUAAAAAUUAAUAUUAUUAUAUUUAAAUUAAAUUACCUUAGGGAUAACAGCGUAAUAAUUUUUAUAAGUUCAUAUUGGUAAAAUUUU
rnacentral:rRNA from 1 species